rnacentral:rRNA from 1 species
GUAGGGAAUCUUCCACAAUGGGCGCAAGCCUGAUGGAGCAACACCGCGUGAGUGAAGAAGGGUUUCGGCUCGUAAAGCUCUGUUGUUAAAGAAGAACACGUAUGAGAGUAACUGUUCAUACGUUGACGGUAUUUAACCAGAAAGUCACGGCUAACUACGUGCCAGCAGCCGCGGUAAUACGUAGGUGGCAAGCGUUAUCCGGAUUUAUUGGGCGUGAAGAGAGUGCAGGCGGUUUUCUAAGUCUGAUGUGAAAGCCUUCGGCUUAACCGGAGAAGUGCAUCGGAAACUGGAUAACUUGAGUGCAGAAGAGGGUAGUGGAACUCCAUGUGUAGCGGUGGAAUGCGUAGAUAUAUGGAAGAACACCAGUGGCGAAGGCGGCUACCUGGUCUGCAACUGACGCUGAGACUCGAAAGCAUGGGUAGCGAACAGGAUUAGAAACCCUUGUAGUCC